ACAAGCUAACAGCUAUCACUGUGCAGCUCUCAAAUGGUCACCCACUGAAACUAAGCAGGGUUGAGCCUGGUUAGUAUAUCUGGAUGGGAGACCACGUGGGAAAACUAGAGCAGCUUUUC
rnacentral:rRNA from 1 species